rnacentral:rRNA from 1 species
GACGAACGCUGGCGGCGUGCUUAACACAUGCAAGUCGAACGGAAAGGCCCUGCUUUUGUGGGGUGCUCGAGUGGCGAACGGGUGAGUAACACGUGAGUAACCUGCCCUUGACUUUGGGAUAACUUCAGGAAACUGGGGCUAAUACCGGAUAGGAGCUCCUGCUGCAUGGUGGGGGUUGGAAAGUUUCGGCGGUUGGGGAUGGACUCGCGGCUUAUCAGCUUGUUGGUGGGGUAGUGGCUUACCAAGGCUUUGACGGGUAGCCGGCCUGAGAGGGUGACCGGCCACAUUGGGACUGAGAUACGGCCCAGACUCCUACGGGAGGCAGCAGUGGGGAAUAUUGCAAAAUGGGCGGAAGCCUGAUGCAGUAACGCCGCGUGCGGGAUGACGGCCUUCGGGUUGUAAACCGCUUUCGCCUGUGACGAAGCGUGAGUGACGGUAAUGGGUAAAGAAGCACCGGCUAACUACGUG